rnacentral:rRNA from 1 species
GUAACACGUGGAUAACCUACCUAUAAGACUGGGAUAACUUCGGGAAACCGGAGCUAAUACCGGAUAAUAUUUUGAACCGCAUGGUUCAAAAGUGAAAGACGGUCUUGCUGUCACUUAUAGAUGGAUCCGCGCUGCAUUAGCUAGUUGGUAAGGUAACGGCUUACCAAGGCAACGAUGCAUAGCCGACCUGAGAGGGUGAUCGGCCACACUGGAACUGAGACACGGUCCAGACUCCUACGGGAGGCAGCAGUAGGGAAUCUUCCGCAAUGGGCGAAAGCCUGACGGAGCAACGCCGCGUGAGUGAUGAAGGUCUUCGGAUCGUAAAACUCUGUUAUUAGGGAAGAACAUAUGUGUAAGUAACUGUGCACAUCUUGACGGUACCUAAUCAGAAAGCCACGGCUAACUACGUGCCAGCAGCCGCGGUAAUACGUAGGUGGCAAGCGUUAUCCGGAAUUAUUGGGCGUAAAGCGCGCGUAGGCGGUUUUUUAAGUCUGAUGUGAAAGCCCACGGCUCAACCGUGGAGGGUCAUUGGAAACUGGAAAACUUGAGUGCAGAAGAGGAAAGUGGAAUUCCAUGUGUAGCGGUGAAAUGCGCAGAGAUAUGGAGGAACACCAGUGGCGAAGGCGACUUUCUGGUCUGUAACUGACGCUGAUGUGCGAAAGCGUGGGGAUCAAACAGGAUUAGAUACCCUGGUAGUCCACGCCGUAAACGAUGAGUGCUAAGUGUUAGGGGGUUUCCGCCCCUUAGUGCUGCAGCUAACGCAUUAAGCACUCCGCCUGGGGAGUACGACCGCAAGGUUGAAACUCAAAGGAAUUGACGGGGACCCGCACAAGCGGUGGAGCAUGUGGUUUAAUUCGAAGCAACGCGAAGAACCUUACCAAAUCUUGACAUCCUUUGACAACUCUAGAGAUAGAGCCUUCCCCUUCGGGGGACAAAGUGACAGGUGGUGCAUGGUUGUCGUCAGCUCGUGUCGUGAGAUGUUGGGUUAAGUCCCGCAACGAGCGCAACCCUUAAGCUUAGUUGCCAUCAUUAAGUUGGGCACUCUAAGUUGACUGCCGGUGACAAACCGGAGGAAGGUGGGGAUGACGUCAAAUCAUCAUGCCCCUUAUGAUUUGGGCUACACACGUGC